UACGUAGGGGGCAAGCGUUGUCCGGAAUGAUUGGGCGUAAAGGGCGCGUAGGCGGCUCGGUAAGUCUGGAGUGAAAUUCCUGCUUUUAAGGUAGGAACUGCUUUGGAUACUGUCGGGCUUGAGUGCAGGAGAGGUAAGCGGAAUUCCCGGUGUAGCGGUGAAAUGCGUAGGGAUCGGGAGGAACACCAGUGGCGAAGGCGGCUUACUGGACUGUAACUGACACUGAGGCACGAAAGCGUGGGGAGCAAACAGG
rnacentral:rRNA from 1 species